rnacentral:rRNA from 1 species
UACGUAGGGUGCAAGCGUUUAAUCGGAAUUACUGGGCGUAAAGCGUGCGCAGGCGGUUUUGUAAGUCUGUCGUGAAAGCCCCGGGCUCAACCUGGGAAUUGCGAUGGAGACUGCAAGGCUUGAAUCUGGCAGAGGGGGGUAGAAUUCCACGUGUAGCAGUGAAAUGCGUAGAGAUGUGGAGGAACACCGGAUGGCGAAGGCAGCCCCCUGGGGUCAAGAUUGACGCUCAUGCACGAAAGCGUGGGUAGCAAACAG